rnacentral:lncRNA from 1 species
GGGCAGCGUCUAAUAACAGUCGAAGGACUUGAAUUAAGGAUGAUCUCGGGGGGGGGGGGUAUUCUUUUUCUGUCUUCCCUUUUUUUCAGUUAUAUUUUAAUAACUUACACUUUUUUCCAUUAUUCUCUUUCUUCACUAUCAUUUAUUCCUUUUUUUUUCUUUUCCGUUAUUCUCUAUUCUGUUAAUUCACAUCCAUACCCUCAUAUGUGGACUUUCGGUGGUUUAUUUUUUAGUUCUGGUAUUAUGCGAUAAGUUAAUUUUUCAUGCAGUUUCAUAAAAUAAUGGUUUUAUGCAUAUUAGCCAAUAUUGUGUGUGAAAUUUUAAUAAACAAUUCAACACCACACGUUAUGUGAAUUUGAUUAAAAUCGAUGAACAUGAAUUUGACAGCUAGUGCCCUUUUAACAGGUAAAAUUCAAUUAACAAAUUCUGAU